GCCUGGGUGGCUCAGUGGUUGAGCAUCUGCCUUUGGCUCAGGUCAUGAUCCUGGGGUCCUGGGAUCGAGUCCCACAUCGGGCU
rnacentral:tRNA from 1 species